GGCUCGUUGGUCUAGGGGUAUGAUUCUCACUUCAGGUGCGAGGGAUCCCAGGUUCAAAUCCUGGACGAGCCC
rnacentral:tRNA from 2 species